GAUCAAAGUGUAGUAUCUGUUCUUAUCAGCUUAAUAUCUGAUACGCCUGCAAUUGUGGGCCAGAAUAUUAAACUGAUUUUUGGAAUUGGGUGGAGAGCUCGGGGCUUGCUCCACCUCCACCACGGGUUGGC
rnacentral:snRNA from 1 species